rnacentral:rRNA from 1 species
AUACGUAGGGGGCUAGCGUUAUCCGGAAUUACUGGGCGUAAAGGGUGCGUAGGUGGUUUCUUAAGUCAGAAGUGAAAGGCUACGGCUCAACCGUAGUAAGCUUUUGAAACUAAGAGACUUGAGUGCAGGAGAGGAGAGUAGAAUUCCUAGUGUAGCGGUGAAAUGCGUAGAUAUUAGGAGGAAUACCAGUUGCGAAGGCGGCUCUCUGGACUGUAACUGACACUGAGGCACGAAAGCGUGGGGAGCAAACAGGAUUAGAUACCCUGGUAGUCCACGCCGUAAACGAUGAGUACUAGCUGUCGGGGGUUACCCCCCUCGGUGGCGCAGCUAACGCAUUAAGUACUCCGCCUGGGAAGUACGCUCGCAAGAGUGAAACUCAAAUGAAUCGGCGGGG